GAUGAACGCUGACAGAAUGCUUAACACAUGCAAGUCGACUUGAAUUUGGGUUUUUAACUUAGGUUUGGGUGGCGGACGGGUGAGUAACGCGUAAAGAACUUGCCUCACAGCUAGGGACAACAUUUGGAAACGAAUGCUAAUACCUAAUAUUAUGAUAAUAGGUCAUCCUAUAAUUAUGAAAGCUAUAAGCGCUGUGAGAGAGCUUUGCGUCCCAUUAGCUAGUUGGAGAGGUAACGGCUCACCAAGGCGAUGAUGGGUAGCCGGCCUGAGAGGGUGAUCGGCCACAAGGGAACUGGGACACGGCCCUUACUCCUACGGGAGGCAGCGGUGGGGAAUAUUGGACAAUGGACCAAGAGUCUGAUCCAGCAAUUCUGUGUGCACGAUGAAGUUUUUCGGAAUGUAAAGUGCUUUCAGUUGGGAAGAAAGAAAUGACGGUACCAACAGAAGAAGUGACGGCUAAAUACGUG
rnacentral:rRNA from 1 species